rnacentral:rRNA from 1 species
AUUGAACGCUGGCGGCAUGCCUUACACAUGCAAGUCGAACGGCAGCACGGGGGCAACCCUGGUGGCGAGUGGCGAACGGGUGAGUAAUACAUCGGAACGUGUCCUGUCGUGGGGAUAACCAGUCGAAAGACUGGCUAAUACCGCAUGAGAUCGAGAGAUGAAAGCAGGGGACCGCAAGGCCUUGCGCGAUUGGAGCGGCCGAUGUCGGAUUAGCUAGUUGGCGGGGUAAAAGCCCACCAAGGCGACGAUCCGUAGCUGGUUUGAGAGAACGACCAGCCACACUGGGACUGAGACACGGCCCAGACUCCUACGGGAGGCAGCAGUGGGGAAUUUUGGACAAAUGGGGGGCAACCCUGAUCCAGCCAUGCCGCGUGUGUGAAGAAGGCC